GCGCGCGGCGGUAACGUUUUUGCUGUUUCCGUUACCUUGCCAUUUGCCGAAGCGGAACAGCGUCAGGCAAGUGGACGCCGC
rnacentral:sRNA from 1 species